AGCGAGUAGGUGUAGUUGUGCACAAGAAAUUUUGGUUUUCUAGGUCGUUUGUCAAAAAGCGACUCGCUA
rnacentral:tRNA from 2 species